UGGGGAAUAUUGCACAAUGGGCGCAAGCCUGAUGCAGCGACGCCGCGUGAGGGAUGACGGCCUUCGGGUUGUAAACCUCUGUUAGCAUCGAAGAAGCGAAAGCGACGGUAGGUGCAGAGAAAGCGCCGGCUAACUACGUGCCAGCAGCCGCGGUAAUACGUAGGGCGCGAGCGUUGUCCGGAAUUAUUGGGCGUAAAGAGCUUGUAGGCGGUUGGUCGCGUCUGCUGUGAAAGGCCGGGGCUUAACUCCGGUUUUGCAGUGGGUACGGGCUAACUAGAGUGCAGUAGGGGAGACUGGAAUUCCUGGUGUAGCGGUGGAAUGCACAGAUAUCAGGAGGAACACCGAUGGCGAAGGCAGGUCUCUGGGCUGUAACUGACGCUGAGAAGCGAAAGCAUGGGGAGCGAACAGGAUUAGAUACCCUGGUAGUCCAUGCCGUAAACGUUGGGCACUAGGUGUGGGGGACAUUCCACGUUUUCCGCGCCGUAGCUAACGCAUUAAGUGCCCCGCCUGGGGAGUACGGCCGCAAGGCUA
rnacentral:rRNA from 1 species